rnacentral:rRNA from 1 species
AACGAACGCUGGCGGCAUGCCUAACACAUGCAAGUCGACCGAUGCCUUCGGGCUUAGUGGCGCACGGGUGCGUAACGCGUUGGAAUCUGCCUUUCGGAUCGGAAUCACUCAGGGAAACUUGAGCUAAUACCGGAUAACAUCGCAAGACCAAAGAUUUAUCACCGAGAGAUUAGCCCGCGUAGAAUUAGCUAGUUUGGGAGGUAAAGGCUAACCAAGUCCAGGAUCCUUAGCUGGACUGAGAGGAUGGUCAGCCACACUAGGAGUGAGACACGGCACAGACUCCUACGGGAGGAAGCAGUGGGAAAUGAUGGACGAUGGGCGAAAGGCUGAACCAAUUAUGCCGGGUGAAUGAAGAAGUCCUGAAGGUUGUAAAGCUCUUUUACCCAGGAAGAUAAUGACGGUACCGGGAGAAUAAGCCCCGGCUAACUCCGUG